UACAGAGGGGGCAAGCGUUAUUCGGAAUUAUUGGGCGUAAAGGGCGCGUAGGCGGCCUGGCAAGUGGAAGGUGAAAUCCCUCGGCUUAACCGAGGAACUGCCCUCCAAACUGCUUGGCUUGAGUCCGGGAGAGGUGAGUGGAAUUCCCAGUGUAGCGGUGAAAUGCGCAGAUAUCAGGAGGAACACCAAUUGCGAAGGCAGCUCGCUGGAACGUAACUGACGCUGAGACGCGAAAGCGUGGGGAGCAAACAGG
rnacentral:rRNA from 1 species